rnacentral:rRNA from 1 species
AACGAACGCUGGCGGCAGGCUUAACACAUGCAAGUCGAGCGAGACCUUCGGGUCUAGCGGCGGACGGGUGAGUAACGCGUGGGAACGUGCCCUUCUCUACGGAAUAGCCCCGGGAAACUGGGAGUAAUACCGUAUACGCCCUUUGGGGGAAAGAUUUAUCGGAGAAGGAUCGGCCCGCGUUGGCUUAGGUAGUUGGUGGGGUAAUGGCCCACCAAGCCGACGAUCCAUAGCUGGUUUGAGAGGAUGAUCAGCCACACUGGGACUGAGACACGGCCCAGACUCCUACGGGAGGCAGCAGUGGGGAAUCUUAGACAAUGGGGGCAACCCUGAUCUAGCCAUGCCGCGUGAGUGAUGAAGGCCUUAGGGUUGUAAAGCUCUUUCAGCUGGGAAGAUAAUGACGGUACCAGCAGAAGAAGCCCCGGCUAACUCCGUG